ensembl:snRNA U6 U6 spliceosomal RNA
GCGCUGGCUUCAGUGGCACAUAUACUAAAAUUGGAGUUAUACGGAGAAAGUUAGCAUGGCCCCUGCACAAGGAUGACAUGCAAAUUCAUGAAGUGUUUCAUGUUAAA